rnacentral:rRNA from 1 species
GAUGAACGCUGGCGGCGUGCCUAAUACAUGCAAGUCGAGCGAACAGACGAGGAGCUUGCUCCUCUGACGUUAGCGGCGGACGGGUGAGUAACACGUGGAUAACCUACCUAUAAGACUGGGAUAACUUCGGGAAACCGGAGCUAAUACCGGAUAAUAUAUUGAACCGCAUGGUUCAAUAGUGAAAGACGGUUUUGCUGUCACUUAUAGAUGGAUCCGCGCCGCAUUAGCUAGUUGGUAAGGUAACGGCUUACCAAGGCAACGAUGCGUAGCCGACCUGAGAGGGUGAUCGGCCACACUGGAACUGAGACACGGUCCAGACUCCUACGGGAGGCAGCAGUAGGGAAUCUUCCGCAAAGGGCGAAAGCUUGACGGAGCAACGCCGCGUGAGUGAUGAAGGUCUUCGGAUCGUAAAACUCUGUUAUUAGGGAAGAACAAACGUGUAAGUAACUAUGCACGUCUUGACGGUACCUAAUCAGAAAGCCACGGCUAACUACGUG